rnacentral:rRNA from 1 species
UACAGAGGGUGCAAGCGUUGUUCGGAAUUAUUGGGCGUAAAGCGCGUGUAGGCGGCUUUGCAAGUCGGGUGUGAAAGCCCUCAGCUCAACUGAGGAAGUGCGCCCGAAACUGCAGAGCUUGAGUACCGGAGAGGAUGGUGGAAUUCCCCAAGUAGAGGUGAAAUUCGUAGAUAUGGGGAGGAACACCGGUGGCGAAGGCGACUACCUGGCCUGUUCUUGACGCUGAGGCGCGAAAGCUAGGGGAGCAAACGGGG